UGCUUAUAAUAGUGAUCGGAGGGU
rnacentral:miRNA from 1 species